GACGAACGCUGGCGGCGUGCCUAAUACAUGCAAGUCGAACGAAGCUGUUUUAACUGGUGCUUGCACCGACUUAAACAACUGAGUGGCGAACGGGUGAGUAACACGUGGGUAACCUGCCCCAAAGCGGGGGAUAACAUUUGGAAACAGAUGCUAAUACCGCAUAACCACAGAAACCACAUGGUUUCUGUGUCAAAGAUGGUUUCGGCUAUCACUUUGGGAUGGACCCGCGGCGUAUUAGCUAGUUGGUAAGGUAAUGGCUUACCAAGGCAAUGCUCCGUAGCCGAACUGAGAGGUUGAUCGGCCACAUUGGGACUGCGACACGGCCCAAACUCCUGCGGGAGGCAGCAGUAGGGAAUCUUCCACAAUGGACGAAAGUCUGAUGGAGCAACGCCGCGUGAGUGAAGAAGGUUUCCGGAUCGUAAAACUCUGUUGUCAGAGAAGAACGUGUGCGAGAGUAACUGUUCGUGCAGUGACGGUAUCUGGCCAGAAAGCCACGGCUAACUACGUGCCAGCAGCCGCCGUAA
rnacentral:rRNA from 1 species